AUACCAGCUGGCUGCAACUGUUUAUUAAAAACACAGCACUGUGCAAACACGAAAGUGGACGUAUACGGUGUGACGCCUGCCCGGUGCCGGAAGGUUAAUUGAUGGGGUUAUCCGUAAGGAGAAGCUCUUGAUCGAAGCCCCGGUAAACGGCGGCCGUAACUAUAACGGUCCUAAGGUAGCGAAAUUCCUUGUCGGGUAAGUUCCGACCUGCACGAAUGGCGUAAUGAUGGCCAGGCUGUCUCCACCCGAGACUCAGUGAAAUUGAACUCGCUGUGAAGAUGCAGUGUACCCGCGGCAAGACGGAAAGACCCCGUGAACCUUUACUAUAGCUUGACACUGAACACUGGUCCUUGAUGUGUAGGAUAGGUGGGAGGCUUUGAAGUGUGGACGCCAGUCUGCAUGGAGCCAUCCUUGAAAUACCACCCUUUAAUGGCUGGUGUUCUAACGUGGACCCGUUACCCGGGUUGCGGACAGUGUCUGGUGGGUAGUUUGACUGGGGCGGUCUCCUCCUAAAGAGUAACGGAGGAGCACGAAGGUUAGCUAAUCCUGGUCGGACAUCAGGAGGUUAGUGCAAAGGCAUAAGCUAGCUUGACUGCGAGAGUGACGGCUCGAGCAGGUGCGAAAGCAGGUCUUAGUGAUCCGGUGGUUCUGAAUGGAAGGGCCAUCGCUCAACGGAUAAAAGGUACUCCGGGGAUAACAGGCUGAUACCGCCCAAGAGUUCAUAUCGACGGCGGUGUUUGGCACCUCGAUGUCGGCUCAUCACAUCCUGGGGCUGAAGUAGGUCCCAAGGGUAUGGCUGUUCGCCAUUUAAAGUGGUACGCGAGCUGGGUUUAGAACGUCGUGAGACAGUUCGGUCCCUAUCUGCCGUGGGCGCUGGAGAAUUGAGGGGGGCUGCUCCUAGUACGAGAGGACCGGAGUGGACGCAUCACUGGUGUUCGGGUUGUCAUGCCAAUGGCAUUGCCCGGUAGCUAAAUGCGGAAGAGAUAAGUGCUGAAAGCAUCUAAGC
rnacentral:rRNA from 1 species